CCUACGGGAGGCAGCAGUGAGGAAUAUUGGUCAAUGGGCGCGAGCCUGAACCAGCCAAGUAGCGUGAAGGAUGACUGCCCUACGGGUUGUACACUUCUUUUAUACAGGAAUAAAGUGAGGCACGUGUGCCUUUUUGUAUGUACUUUAUGAAUCAGAAUCUGCUAACUCCGUGCCAGCAGCCGCGGUAAUACGGAGAAUCCGCGCGUUAGCCGGAUUUAUUGGGUUUAAAGGGAGCGUAGAUGGGUUGUUAAGUCAGUUGUGAAAGUUUGCGGCUCAACAGUAAAAUUGCAAUUGAUACUGGCAGUCUUGAGUACAGUUGAGGUAGGCGGAAUUCGUGGUGUAGCGGUGAAAUGCUUAGAUAUCACGAAGAACUCCGAUUGCGAAGGCAGCUUACUAAACUGCCACUGACAUUGAUGCUCGAAAGUGUGGGUAUCAAACAGGAUGAGAUACCCUAGUAGUC
rnacentral:rRNA from 1 species